rnacentral:rRNA from 1 species
AAUCAACGCUGGCGGCGUGCCUCAGACAUGCAAGUCGAACGAUUAAACUUUCCUUCGGGGAAGAUAUAAAGUGGCGCACGGGUGAGUAACACGUAAGUAAUCUACCUUCGAGUGGGGAAUAACAUCGGGAAACCGAUGCUAAUACCGCAUAACGCAGCGGCAUCUUAUGGUGACAGUUGUUAAAGGAGCAAUUCGCUUGAAGAGGAGCUUGCGGCAGAUUAGCUAGUUGGUAAGGUAAUGGCUUACCAAGGCUUCGAUCUGUAUCCGGUCUAAGAGGACGGACGGACACACUGACACUGAAUAACGGGUCAGACUCCUACGGGAGGCAGCAGUCGGGAAUUUUGGGCAAUGGGCGAAAGCCUGACCCAGCAACGCCGCGUGACGGAUGAAGUAUUUCGGUAUGUAAACUUCGAAAGAAUGGGAAGAACUCAAUGACGGUACCAUUUAUAAGCUCCGGCUAACUACGUGCCAGCAGCCGCGGUAAUACGUAGGGAGCAAGCGUUGUUCGG